GAAGGAAAGAAAAUAACAGAGGAGAGUAAUGGCUUCUGUCUCUUCAGAUUAUUGGUAGCAUGGGUUUGCUCCAGCUUUCACACACUGCAUGCCAGAGGCAUUUGCAGCCUUAACCUCUGCCAACAUCCCUUGCUCUGACAUAGCACCUGGGGAAGAAAGGGAUGCAGGUGAACCAGGGCUAGAUGAGAGAGACAUCAAUAUCUGCUAGGAGGACUCCUUUGAAACACAGGCUUUGCUUGAAAGCUGCUUUUUCCUGAGGGAGAAUAGGAUGCAGGAUCUCUCUACAUAAUUGGCUUCUCCCUUCAAUGCGGCAGUGGGUACAGAUAAAUUUGAAAAUUACUUUUCUUCUUCGGUGCUUAGAGGGUUAUUAUUUGCUCCUUUGUCCUUUUAUUUAGUUAUUAAAAUAAAUAAAUAAAUAAAAGUUGUUCCAGCCUAA